AAGGCCAAAAAGGGGGGGGGGUGGGGAGGCCACCGGGUUUUUUUCCCCCCCACCCCUUUUGGGGAGGCACGGGCUCGCUUUUCUCCCCCUUCUUCUCCCCCUGAUCCUAACUUUACCCGCCUUCCCACGUGUGUUGGGAGAGUGGAGGAGGAAGUGUGUGUGUAUGGAGGAAGAAGCUGCGGAAGGGGAAAUAUCGUCAGGCUACCUACAGCUGCAGGGGUAUGGUCACGGCUCCUCUAUGAAGCAGCGAUCG
rnacentral:rRNA from 1 species